rnacentral:lncRNA from 1 species
AGAUUUAUAGUUCUUAGCCUCUGUACCAACCUGCCCCACCUGAUGGCCCUCCCAUCUCUCCUCAAGCAAUUGUUCAAUGACACCCAUGCAGCCUCCCAGUUGCCAUGGAAAUGGCAAGAAUGCCUCUAAUAGGAAGUAAGAAUGGAAGAAGAUGAUUGUGCAGAUUCCUCAAGCAAUUCCUGAGCAAAUUCUCCACUACCCUUUGCAUCCAGAGUCAAGGAUUUCUCUGGGUUACAGGAACGGCACUGAGGCUUUCAACAUCCUCACCCUGGCAAGCUGGUUGCCUCCUUUUGCCCAGCAGUGCCACAGCACUACUCUGCACAGCAACUCAGCUCCCUUCUUUCAGCUGGAUUCCUUUUGUGAGACUGUAAUUCUGAAACACCCAGUGAAACUGGAACAGGAACAAGAAAGGGAAUUCUUCUGUGAUUACCCCAAAUCACUUGUUGUCUGUAGAAAACUUACAGUGGUGCAUCCAUGGGCAGGGCAUGAAGAGAGAGUCCACAGAGGAGCUCGACCUUCUCAUCUUCCCAGAGAUCUAAAGAGCAGGUGUGGUGAGGACCAUCACUGAGGUCAAUCAGAAAUACCUGCUUGCUCCUGCCUUCAUGAGAGAUGGCUCUAUUUAGCCACACAGACACAUCCUUUUUCUACCUAGGCCUAUCAACCUAAUAGGAAAUGGAGGCUCUGAAGACUAGUUUUACAAGGGGGUAAAGGAAAGUCUAGGAGGAAAAUGUGGAGGAGAGUGAAGUCGGGCGCCAAGAGAGCAGAAGCAUUGAAAAUGUUUGGGACUAGAUGAGAGACAGCCAAGGUUGGGGCACUAGUGGGGGCAGAUGGGAGAAGAGGGUACAGAGCAACUGGGCAUCUGAAGGCCUGUCCAGCCCUGAGGUGCCCACUCCUGUGUCGUCAAGCAGCUCGUUCCCUUCCUCAGAUCUCGGAUUUUGCCUCCAUGGAGAUCUCUUCCAUCUCUGACAUUUAAUGUUCUAGAGAUAGAGUGAACAGACACAGGAAGUUGAAGCAGUAUCAGAAAGUUUCAGAAAUGCCUGCAGAGCAGCAGAGGCUUGGGCUCCAAAAAACACACUGCAGGGACACUUCUUCCCACGAUUUUCUAAGGACCAGAUGUGCCUCUUCUUAUACUGGGUAUUAAUCCCAAACUCCCUUAUCAUACAUUUAAACUGUUUGCCUAACUGUCCAGCUCUUAAUUAGGCAUGUAACUGGGGAAUCAGGGACAAUACACAAAUGAGCAAACAAUCCCCAAACUUUAUUUCUGUUAUUGCCUACAACUUCCUCCCACAGGCAUUAAGUAGCCAAGCUGAAUUUUUUGCCCUACAGUCAUUUCCUUUUCCACUUCAUUUUCUAAUCCAAACGUUUGAGGGUGAAGUGCUUGGGGCCUUAUUUAAACCACCAGCUGGAAAACAGUCCUCAGCAAAAUAGAGGCAUGAAUAAGAGGCAAACAUACAUGUAGACAGACAAUUAUUGUUGUGUGAGACUCAUCUUUGAUUUCAAUUUGGGAACUGAGUUGAGUUCAAUGCUGUCUCUUCAUCUGUUUCUGUUAUAACUGCAGGAAGCAGAGGGUUUUUGACUUCUCAACAUGGUAAAACAAACAAACAAACAAAAACAAAAUAA